GUCUCCAUGGUCUAGUGGUUCAUGACGUCGGUCUCAUAUUAUCCGGAAAGCUGAGUUCGAUUCUCAGUGGGGACA
rnacentral:tRNA from 1 species